GCGGAAGUAGCUCACCCGGUAGAGCGACAGCUUCCCAAGCUGUAGGUAGCGAGUUCGAGUCUCGUCUUCCGCU
rnacentral:tRNA from 1 species